GGCACUUUGGCGGAGUGGUUAACGCGAUGCCCUGCUAAGGCAUUCCCUUCGGGGGCGUGUGUUCGAAUCACACAGGUGUCG
rnacentral:tRNA from 1 species